ACGGAGGAUGCAAGCGUUAUCCGGAUUCAUUGGGUUUAAAGGGUGCGCAGGCGGAUUGGUAAGUCAGGGGUGAAAUCCCACAGCUCAACUGUGGAACUGCCCUUGAUACUGUCAGACUAGAGUAUAGUUGAAGUUGGCGGAAUGUGUCAUGUAGCGGUGAAAUGCUUAGAUAUGAGGCGGAACACCGGUGGCGAAGGCAGCUUGCUGGGCUAUAACUGACGCUCAGGCGCGAAAGCUUGGGGAUCAAACAG
rnacentral:rRNA from 1 species